UGGGGAAUCUUGCGCAAUGGGCGAAAGCCUGACGCAGCCAUGCCGCGUGUAUGAUGAAGGUCUUAGGAUUGUAAAAUACUUUCACCGGUGAAGCUGUAGCCGGAGAAGAAGCCCCGGCUAACUUCGUGCCAGCAGCCGCGGUAAUACGAAGGGGGCUAGCGUUGCUCGGAAUUACUGGGCGUAAAGGGAGCGUAGGCGGACAUUUAAGUCAGAGGUGAAAUCCCGGAGCUUAACUUCGGAACUGCCUUUGAUACUGGGUGUCUUGAGUGUGAGAGAGGUAUGUGGAACUCCGAGUGUAGAGGUGAAAUUCGUAGAUAUUCGGAAGAACACCAGUGGCGAAGGCGACAUACUGGCUCAUUACUGACGCUGAGGCUCGAAAGCGUGGGGAGCAAACAGGAUUAGAUACCCUUGUAGU
rnacentral:rRNA from 1 species